rnacentral:lncRNA from 1 species
UAGCUUCUAUAAUUACAACUUCUGUUGCAUAAAAUUUUCUGCAGCUCUGUUCGAAUGCCAAAGGACAUCUCUUACUUUAGAAGAGAAAGGGAACUUGCCCUAAAGAAAACUUUACAGGUGGCUGAGUCAAAGUCCCUUGUUAUUCAAUCAGAUGUCAUGCAGAGGGAGCUAGAGAGCUGCCUAAGGAGAGAGUACACUCCUGAAAAUUUACCUUUGCUUCUGUUGCAGCAUUAUACAGAGAGAAUUACCCAGCUGGCCCAGAGUAAAUAUUUACACAUGCUUAGGUGGAAGAGAUUUUGCCAUCACAGUAAGAUCAUG